CAGCAGCCACGGUAAUACAGAGGGUGCGAGCGUUAAUCGGAUUUACUGGGCGUAAAGCGUGCGUAGGCGGCUAAUUGAGUCGGAUGUGAAAUCCCCGAGCUUAACUUGGGAAUUGCAUUCGAUACUGGUUAGCUAGAGUGUGGGAGAGGAUGGUAGAAUUCCAGGUGUAGCGGUGAAAUGCGUAGAGAUCUGGAGGAAUACCGAUGGCGAAGGCAGCCAUCUGGCCUAACACUGACGCUGAGGUACGAAAGCGUGGGGAGCAAACAGGAUUAGAGACCCCAGUAGUCCCUGUCUCUUAUAC
rnacentral:rRNA from 1 species